rnacentral:rRNA from 1 species
CCUACGGGAGGCAGCAGUGAGGAAUAUUGGUCAAUGGGCGGGAGCCUGAACCAGCCAAGUCGCGUGAGGGAAGAAGGUACAGAGGAUUGUAAACCUCUUUUGCAAGGGGACAAAGGCGGCCAGGGGUGGCCGUAAGAGGGUACAUGGAGAAAAAGCAUCGGCUAACUCCGAGCCAGCAGACUCGGUAAUACGGAGGAUGCGAGCGUUAUCCGGAUUGAUUGGGGGGAAAGGGUGCGCAGGCGGCGUGGCAAGUCAGCGGUAAACUGUCGGGGCUCAACCCCGGCCGGCCGUUGAAACUGGCGUGCUCGAGUUGGUGCGAAGUAUGCGGCCUUCG